GGGAGUGCGCCGGAGCUGGAGUGCCGGGGCGGUCUGUAAAACCGCUGCCCUCACGGGCAUAGCAAGUUCAAAUCUUGCCACUCUCA
rnacentral:tRNA from 1 species